rnacentral:lncRNA from 1 species
CGCGCGUUCUGCACAGCAGCCAAUCAGAGGGUAGGGGGCGGGGACUCCGAGGCGCGGUGUGUGCAGCGGUACUCAGACAGGAAAGCCUCGGGAUCCUUCGGGUUCUUUCGUUUUCCCUCCUGGGUAAAGUUAUGUUCAGUCUUCCAUCAACUCGUUUAUUUUUCCGCCCGACUCGGCGCGCGUGCGCAGUGCCUCCCAGCCCAGGCUGUUCCUGAAAUGUAAUCGUGUUGAGACACAGGGAGGGAAGCUGAACGUCCAUUCUACAGGUCAGUCAACACUUUGACUCAGCAGUUCACCUUCGGAGCAUUACCCUAGUGGACAUCCAUCUGUGCCUCGAGGCUGCUUCAAGGAUGCUCUGGACUAUGUAUUGUUUAUUAUAAUAUAGUGAGGCUUGGCCCCAUAAUGAUGGCUAUUGUAUAAGUCCUCUACAAGAGUUUAAGAAAUAACCUGUGUGCGAGGCUCAGAUAAGCACUAGGGACACCAGGAAUGUUAACUACACAGGAAUGUCUGUUUAGUGAGAGAGAUGUAUGACGUGUCUUCUGCCCAGAAGGCUGGGAGCAGAUGUGGGUAAUGGCCUGUGACCUGAGACUGAUAGGCUGAGAUCUCACCAGUUCCUCCCUGGACUCUUAUCGGUGAGCAUGUUUUUCUCAGUCUAUAGAAACUAUCUUUCUGGAAGAUGUCACAUGUACUUUACAAAGAGUUCCAGUGCAGUGGUGUCCUAAGCUGUGCUGUGCACAGGUGAUUGGGUUAAUUAUCACCAGGUAAGUUUUCACCAAAUAAACUACUUGGGGUCAGGCUUGCAAAGUUUGAACCAACACUGGCUGCUUAAUUGUAUUGAAUUGAGCAACCUUGUUUCCUACAGAUCACCACUCUGUAGAGGUCCCCUGGCACCACUUACCCGCCCCCAAACAUGUAUUGAGACAAAAGACCAAACCAAACAGCUCUGCUUUUCACUUCUUUUUUUUUUUUUUUUUUACAAUUUUUUAUUAUUAUUAUUUAUUUAUUAUAUGUAAGUACACUGUAGCUGUCUUCAGACACUCCAGAAGAGGGCAUCAGAUUCCACUACGGAUGGCUGUGAGCCACCAUGUAGUCGCUGGGACCUGAGGAAGAACAGUCGGCACUCUUAACCACUGAGCCAUCUUACCAGCCCGCUUUUCACUUCUUAUACACAAGCAAACAGAAGAGCUAUGUACCGUGCAGUCUAUUUGCUGUGUGACCUUGUACUAGGGUUCUAUAGGAUAGCAACUUAUGGGAUGAAUAUAUUUAAUUAUAAUAGACUAUUACAUAUAAUAUAAAUAUUUCUGUAUAUAAGUAAUCAU